rnacentral:rRNA from 1 species
UACGAAGGAUGCAAGCGUUAUCCGGAAUUAUUGGGUUUAAAGGGUGCGUAGGCGGACUAAUAAGUCAGUGGUGAAAGCCUGCAGCUUAACUGCAGAAUUGCCGUUGAUACUGUUAGUCUUGAGUACAGUUGAGGUAGGCGGAAUGUGUCAUGUAGCGGUGAAAUGCUUAGAUAUGACACAGAACACCGAUUGCGAAGGCAGCUUGCUAAGCUGUAACUGACGCUGAGGCACGAAAGCGUGGGGAGCAAACAGG